AUUGAACGCUGGCGGCAGGCCUAACACAUGCAAGUCGAGCGGUAGCACAGGGAGCUUGCUCCUGGGUGACGAGCGGCGGACGGGUGAGUAAUGUCUGGGAAACUGCCUGAUGGAGGGGGAUAACUACUGGAAACGGUAGCUAAUACCGCAUAACGUCGCAAGACCAAAGAGGGGGACCUUCGGGCCUCUUGCCAUCAGAUGUGCCCAGAUGGGAUUAGCGAGUAGGUGGGGUAACGGCUCACCUAGCCGACGAUCCCUAGCUGGUCUGAGAGGAUGACCAGCCACACUGGAACUGAGACACGGUCCAGACUCCUACGGGAGGCAGCAGUGGGGAAUAUUGCACAAUGGGCGCAAGCCUGAUGCAGCCAUGCCGCGUGUAUGAAGAAGGCCUUCGGGUUGUAAAGUACUUUCAGCGGGGAGGAAGGCGAUAAGGUUAAUAACCUUGUCGAUUGACGUUACCCGCAGAAGAAGCACCGGCUAACUCCGUGCCAGCCGCCGCCGUAACAC
rnacentral:rRNA from 1 species